AGCUGUUGCUGAGGCCAGGACUGGGGGUGUAUUCGCUUUCCUGCAUUCCUCGCUGGUCUUGUUGCCCAGGCUCCCUGGCAAGGAUGCAGGGCUGAUGAACCAGCAGUGCCUUUCCUGCCAACCGCCCCUUCGCUCGGAUCCAGAGUUACAGAGAGGCAGAAGCAGAGAGAGAAGGAGAGAGAUCUUGCAUCUGCUGGUUCACCCCCCAGAUGGCUGCAGCAGCUGGAGCUGGGCUGAUCCGAAGCCAGAAGCCAGAAGCCAGAAGCCAGAAGCCAGAAGCCAGAGCACCUUCCCAGUCUCCCAAGCACUUGGGCCGUCUUGCACUGCUUUCCCAGGCCAUAGCAGAGAGCUGGAUUGGAAGAGGAGUGGCUGAGACUAGAACUGGUGCCCAUAAGGGAUGACAGCACUGCAGGUGGCAGCUUUACCUGCUACGCCACAGCACCAGCCCCAGUCCUUUCUAUUUCUAAUGUUGGAUACUUCAAACCCCGUAUGAACUUCAUCUGUGUUCUUGACCCACAGCAGAACGUGAGCAUUGCAACUCAGGCCAGAGAACAAUGUCCUUGGAUACCUGCUGCCAGGCUCGGCCUCUCCACAGCGGUCGUGCCAGUCAUGGACAUCCUGGUCUCAGAGCGGUGUCUGAGCAGGGAGGGAACAGAUCAGGCCCAGAGUGGGACCAGACAAUGCCGCCUUCAUGCUUGCUGGCCCAGCCCUGCCUUCCUUUGUCUCCGGGGGGUGUGGCUCCCAUGUGCCCCGCCCCCUUUUCUUCACUCACAGAUGACGAGUCUUCCUGUUCCAUUGGUCCGAGUCACGUUUAGAUGGUUGACCCGGUAGAGGGAGCCGUUGGAGAAUCUGCUUUACAUGUUUGUCAUUGAUGUGGGUUUACCAGCUAACUGUAUGGUCUGUGAGCACUGAUUUUUCUUGCCUGGGGUGCUUGUGAACAAUGCUUGGUUUAUAAUUGAAGCCUGCACUGGAAUGAGCUGAUCUCUCCCCUGCCAUGUUAGACUGUGAUGAAAACAGGUUUGUACUUGGCUUCUAGGAGACCCCUGGGGCCACUUGGGUUGAUUGAUUGAUUUCUUCUUUCAUCAAUGAAGCAAGUUUCUCUUGAGUGUCUACCUUAGGUCAGAUAGUGCCUAGGGCUUGGGGAACACCAGGAGCCUUUAGGAGGUUCGCAAAAUAUUUAUUGUAAAAAUAUGCAUCUCAAAGGAUGCAGAUAAAGCAUUUGAUAAAUACAACAUCCUUUCAUGAUAAAAACCUUAAGCAAAAUGGGCAUAGAAGGAACAUAUCUCAACAUAGUCAAGGCAAUAUAUGACAAACACACAGCUGGCAUCAUAUUGAAUAGGGAAAAGCGGGAAGCAUGCCGCUAACAUCUGGAACCAGACAAGGAUUCCCACUUUGACCAUUGCUAUUCAGUCUAGUUCUAGAAGUUUUAGCUAGAGCAAUUAGGCAAGAAAAAGAAAUCAAUGGGAUACAAAUUAGAAAGGAAGAAAUCAAAUUAUUCCUGUUUGCAGAUGACAUGAUCUUAUAUAUAGGAGAACUGAAAGACUCCAUUAAGAGACAGUUGGAACUCAUAAAAGAGUUUGGUAAAGUUGCAGGCUAUAAAACCACACACAAACAAAUGCAAUGGCUGAGAAAGAACUUGUAAGAUAAAGUUAUUUUAAUAUUUAAAUAACUUGGAGUAAGUUUAACCAAGGAUGUGAAAGAUUUCUCCAAUGAAAUUACAUAACAAUGAGAAGCAGAAGAAGACACCCCAAAAAUAUGAAAAACUCUUCCAUAUUCAUGGACUGGAUAAUUAAUAUCAUCAAAAUGUCAAUAAUAUCCAAACCAAUUCACAGAUUUAAUGCAAUCUCAAUAAAAUAUCAAUAACAUUCUCCUCAGAUCUAGAAAAAAUAUGCUAAUUAGUAUUCAUCAUCUCAGAUAGCUAAAGCAAUGUUAAACAACAAAAAUAAAACCAGGGGCAUCACAAUGCCAGAUUUCAUUACUACAGGCAGUUAUAAUCAAAAUAGACUGCUACUGGCACGAAAAGAGAGUUGUAGACUAAUGGGACACAAUUGAAGCCCCAGAAAUUAAUCCUUAUGUCUACAACCAACUAUUAUUUGACAAAUGAGCUAAAAUCUCCUCAACAAAUGGGAUUUGGAAAAUUGAAUCUCUGCAUGCAGAAGUCUGAAACAAGAUUUCUACCUUGCACGUAUACAAAAAUCAAAAGGGAUCAAGAAUCUAAAUCUAUGACCUGAUAGUAUCAGAUUACUAGAGGAAAACAUAGGGGAAACACUGCAAGACAUUGGCAUAGGCAAAGAGUUCUCGGAUACGGCCCCAGAAGCACAGAUAAUCAAAGCAAAAAUAGACAAAUGGCAUUACAUCAGGUUAGAAGCUUCUGCGCAGCAAAGGAAACACUCAACACAGCGAAGAGGAGACAGAUGGGGGAAAAUGUUUGUGAAUUAUGUACCUGAUAAAGAUUAAUGUCCAGAAUUUAUAAAGAGCUCAAAAGAGCAAACAAUCCAGUUACGAAAUGGGCAAAAGACACAGACAGACGUUUUUCAAAGGAUGAAACACAAAUGGCCAACCGACAAAUGAAGAAAUGCUGAGGAACACUAACUAUCAGGAAAAAGCAUCCAAAAAAAACCCCAAAAAAACCACUAGUGAAUGCUGGAAAAGAUGAGGAGAAAACGUACCCUAAUGCACUGUUGGUGGGAGUGUAAACUCGUCCAACUAUUGUGGAGACAGUGUGGAGAUUCAUCUGAAAUCUGAAAAUAAGUCUCCCUUAUGAUCCAGCGAGGACAUUCCUGAAAUUUAUCCAUAGGAAAUGAAAUCAGCGUAUCCAUGAG